rnacentral:rRNA from 1 species
AAGUAAUGAUAAAAGGGACAAACGGGGUCAUACGUAUGGCCGGGGGAGGAGUGAAACCCGUAGAUCCUGGCCCAGACGACCUACUGCGAAAGCAUUUGACCAGAAUGUUUUCAUUAAUCAAGAACGAAAGCGAGAGGUUCGAAGACGCUUAGAUACCGUCCUAGUUCUCGCCAUAAACUAUACCAUCUGGUAUUGCGGCUGAUAAUCUCUGAUUUUCGGUCCGCGCAACCCCCGAGAAAUCUACAAGUGUGUGGGUUCCGGGGGGAGUAUGGUGGCAACGUUGAAACUUAAAGGAAUUGACGGAAGGGCACCACCAGGAGUGGAGCCUGCGGCUUAAUUUGACUCAACACGGGAAAACUCACUCGGCCCGGACGUCGAUGGGAUUAACACACUGAUAGCUCUUUUUUGAUACGACGGAUGGUGGUGCAUGGCCGUUCUUAGUUGGUGGAGCGGUUUGUCUGGUUUAUUCCGAUAACGAGCGAGACUCUGGUCUGCUAAAUAGAGUGCGGGAGCCUGACUAACUCCCCGGCACGUCUAUUGCUUCUUAGAGGCAUUAACGGAAUCAAGCCGUAUGAUAAAGAGCAAUAACAGGUCUGUGAUGCCCUUAGAUGUUCGAGGCUGCACGCGGGCUACAAUGGCUGCAACAAUGAGAGCAAGCGGAGCCGAGAGGCCGAGCGAACCUCUAAAAGCAGUCGUAGCUGGGAUCGUGGUUUGCUAUUAGCCCACGUGAACGAGGAAUUCCUAGUAAAGGCACGUCAUCAACAUGCCUUGAUUACGUCCCUGCCCUUUGUACACACCGCCCGUCGCUACUACCGAUUGUGUUGGUCGUUGAGGUCAUUGGACCUGCGCUCUAGUGCUGUGCCUUUCGGGGCCGGCAUAUGGGUGCGGGGAAGGUGAUCGAAGCGGCAAACAUAGAGGAAGUAAAAGUCGUAACAAGGUUGUCGUAGGUGAACCUGCAGAAGGAUC